AACCGGGGGAACUGAAACAUCUAAGUACCCCGAGGAAAAGAAAUCAACCGAGAUUCCCCCAGUAGCGGCGAGCGAACGGGGAGGAGCCCAGAGCCUGAAUCAGUGUGUGUGUUAGUGGAAGCGUCUGGAAAGGCGCGCGAUACAGGGUGACAGCCCCGUACACAAAAAUGCACAUGCUGUGAGCUCGAUGAGUAGGGCGGGACACGUGGUAUCCUGUCUGAAUAUGGGGGGACCAUCCUCCAAGGCUAAAUACUCCUGACUGACCGAUAGUGAACCAGUACCGUGAGGGAAAGGCGAAAAGAACCCCGGCGAGGGGAGUGAAAAAGAACCUGAAACCGUGUACGUACAAGCAGUGGGAGCCUCUUAAUGGGGUGACUGCGUACCUUUUGUAUAAUGGGUCAGCGACUUAUAUUCUGUAGCAAGGUUAACCGAAUAGGGGAGCCGAAGGGAAACCGAGUCUUAACUGGGCGUUAAGUUGCAGGGUAUAGACCCGAAACCCGGUGAUCUAGCCAUGGGCAGGUUGAAGGUUGGGUAACACUAACUGGAGGACCGAACCGACUAAUGUUGAAAAAUUAGCGGAUGACUUGUGGCUGGGGGUGAAAGGCCAAUCAAACCGGGAGAUAGCUGGUUCUCCCCGAAAGCUAUUUAGGUAGCGCCUCGUGAAUUCAUCUCCGGGGGUAGAGCACUGUUUCGGCAAGGGGGUCAUCCCGACUUACCAACCCGAUGCAAACUGCGAAUACCGGAGAAUGUUAUCACGGGAGACACACGGCGGGUGCUAACGUCCGUCGUGAAGAGGGAAACAACCCAGACCGCCAGCUAAGGUCCCAAAGUCAUGGUUAAGUGGGAAACGAUGUGGGAAGGCCCAGACAGCCAGGAUGUUGGCUUAGAAGCAGCCAUCAUUUAAAGAAAGCGUAAUAGCUCACUGGUCGAGUCGGCCUGCGCGGAAGAUGUAACGGGGCUAAACCAUGCACCGAAGCUGCGGCAGCGACACUAUGUGUUGUUGGGUAGGGGAGCGUUCUGUAAGCCUGUGAAGGUGGCCUGUGAGGGUUGCUGGAGGUAUCAGAAGUGCGAAUGCUGACAUAAGUAACGAUAAAGCGGGUGAAAAGCCCGCUCGCCGGAAGACCAAGGGUUCCUGUCCAACGUUAAUCGGGGCAGGGUGAGUCGACCCCUAAGGCGAGGCCGAAAGGCGUAGUCGAUGGGAAACAGGUUAAUAUUCCUGUACUUGGUGUUACUGCGAAGGGGGGACGGAGAAGGCUAUGUUGGCCGGGCGACGGUUGUCCCGGUUUAAGCGUGUAGGCUGGUUUUCCAGGCAAAUCCGGAAAACCAAGGCUGAGGCGUGAUGACGAGGCACUACGGUGCUGAAGUGACAAAUGCCCUGCUUCCAGGAAAAGCCUCUAAGCAUCAGGUAACAUCAAAUCGUACCCCAAACCGACACAGGUGGUCAGGUAGAGAAUACCAAGGCGCUUGAGAGAACUCGGGUGAAGGAACUAGGCAAAAUGGUGCCGUAACUUCGGGAGAAGGCACGCUGAUAUGUAGGUGAAGCGACUUGCUCGUGGAGCUGAAAUCAGUCGAAGAUACCAGCUGGCUGCAACUGUUUAUUAAAAACACAGCACUGUGCAAACACGAAAGUGGACGUAUACGGUGUGACGCCUGCCCGGUGCCGGAAGGUUAAUUGAUGGGGUUAGCGGUAACGCGAAGCUCUUGAUCGAAGCCCCGGUAAACGGCGGCCGUAACUAUAACGGUCCUAAGGUAGCGAAAUUCCUUGUCGGGUAAGUUCCGACCUGCACGAAUGGCGUAAUGAUGGCCAGGCUGUCUCCACCCGAGACUCAGUGAAAUUGAACUCGCUGUGAAGAUGCAGUGUACCCGCGGCAAGACGGAAAGACCCCGUGAACCUUUACUAUAGCUUGACACUGAACAUUGAGCCUUGAUGUGUAGGAUAGGUGGGAGGCUUUGAAGUGUGGACGCCAGUCUGCAUGGAGCCGACCUUGAAAUACCACCCUUUAAUGUUUGAUGUUCUAACGUUGGCCCCUAAUCGGGGUUGCGGACAGUGUCUGGUGGGUAGUUUGACUGGGGCGGUCUCCUCCUAAAGAGUAACGGAGGAGCACGAAGGUUGGCUAAUCCUGGUCGGACAUCAGGAGGUUAGUGCAAUGGCAUAAGCCAGCUUGACUGCGAGCGUGACGGCGCGAGCAGGUGCGAAAGCAGGUCAUAGUGAUCCGGUGGUUCUGAAUGGAAGGGCCAUCGCUCAACGGAUAAAAGGUACUCCGGGGAUAACAGGCUGAUACCGCCCAAGAGUUCAUAUCGACGGCGGUGUUUGGCACCUCGAUGUCGGCUCAUCACAUCCUGGGGCUGAAGUAGGUCCCAAGGGUAUGGCUGUUCGCCAUUUAAAGUGGUACGCGAGCUGGGUUUAGAACGUCGUGAGACAGUUCGGUCCCUAUCUGCCGUGGGCGCUGGAGAACUGAGGGGGGCUGCUCCUAGU
rnacentral:rRNA from 1 species